GAAGGAGGUCCCAAACCCGCGCCGCUUGACUUGCAAGAGCCUCCUCCCCCUCCUCGUAAGCUACGACGCGGAAGAGCCCACGACGCCCCUACAGACAGACAUUUGUUUAUCGCGAGUACUGCGAUUGUAAUGCAAAUUAUCAGUCUCUACGCCACCUCUCCCCAACCCAACUCCCCCUUUACCUGGAAUUUUCGAUGGUCAUGGCCACAGCCUGAUUUCGGCCUAUAAAAGCAGCCACGACGCGCGAACCGGCAUUCAUUCGAGGAUUGUUGCUGAGAUUGUAGAGGAAGCUGGUCGCAGACCACUACUCGGUUUUAGUAUCGAUUCAGUUGCUGUCAUUCCAUUCAUUGCAGCCUGUAGCGUGGUUCAGGAUGGCUGGAGGUGGUAAUAAGAAGGCAGCUAGCAAGAAACAGCCGGCGAUCGUGUGUAUACAGCUGGUGAAGCCACAAGAGUUUAGUAAUGGUACUAAGGGACUGGGCUGGGAGAAGGUGCGCACAGUGGGAGCUUCAUGAAAUGGUGAGCUGAGUGGGUGUCCACUUCCAUGGCCAUCGCGGUGCCGGAACUCUCUCUCUCUCUCUCGCUCUCUCUAUCCCUCGCUGAGCUUGACCGCCGCAAUGGAUCUCCCUUUGUUGCGUGUCGGUGCAGUGCCGUGUCAGCCCCGCAGGAUUUUCUCACACGGUGUCCCUCAACAUGGGUCAUCUUCUUCAUCACACUUUUGUGUUGCUUCUCGCUUGUUCGGAACCGUGUUAAUUUACCUGUUUUACUCGAAGUUGAUGCAAAACUCCCACAUCUGUCAUCGAUCAGAGCCUGGAUUAGAAGAUGACAUGCAGUUAUGUGGUUUUGUUUCAAUCGAAUGAUAUGUUUCUUUUGUGUAGAUAGAUGGAUUUUGGGGCGACGCAAAGCUAAGGUUGUGUUGUUGAUGAGUUUUUGAAGUAAUUGUUGGAAAGAGGUUUGUUGUUUUUCUAUCCUCUCGUUCUGUUUUCAUGA